GAUGAACGCUGGCGGCGUGCCUAAUACAUGCAAGUCGAGCGAACGGACGAGAAGCUUGCUUCUCUGAUGUUAGCGGCGGACGGGUGAGUAACACGUGCAUAACCUACCUAUAAGACUGGGAUAACUUCGGGAAACCGGAUAUAACACCGGAUAAUAUUUUGAACCGCAUGGAUCAAAAGUGAAAGACGGUCUUGCUGUCACUUAUAGAUGGAUCCUCGCUGCAUUAGCUAGUUGGUAAGGUAACGGCUUACCAAGGCGACGAUGCGUAGCCGACCUGAGAGGGUGAUCAGCCACACUGGAACUGAGACACGGUCCAGACUCCUACGGGAGGCAGCAGUGGGGAAUCUUCCACAAUGGGCGCAAGCCUGAUGGAGCCACGCCGCGUGAGUGAUGAAGGUCUUCGGAUCGUAAAGCUCUGUUAGUAGGGAAGAACAUAUGUGUAAGUAACUGUGCACAACUUGACGGUACCUAAACAGAAAGCCACGGCUAACUACGUG
rnacentral:rRNA from 1 species